UCCCGUCGCCCAGCUACGUCAAGGGAAGCGCAGCCUUUUGGGAAAUGCAGUGCCGUGCCGCCCAUACCUUAGCGUUCAGAGGACAAGAAAACUACACUUCCCGAGAUUCUGAGGGGCGGCUGCGCUUUAUCACCUGGAGCGACGGCCUUAAGGGUGCCGGAGAAGGACAAGUGAGUCGUCUUAACUCGCGCAAGACAUGGUUGAGUUAAUUUACCCCUGGAACUCGAACGCGCUUAAGACAAGUGUGGAUUCACAAAAACGUGGAUCAGUCGGAAUCACAACUCUAAAGACACCUUGAUUUGACUCUGAGGUUCUCUCCUGAUUCGGUGUGUGCUCUCAAGAAAAAAUGCCUGUGUUCUCGAGACCAGCUUUCCCGUUUGUGUUAGGCGGGAGUGGGAAGUAGUCGACCUUCGCUCGAGUAGCUGUUGGAAGAGGCAGUACUUCGGCCUGGCCAGUAGAAACCGGCCCUACUCCCAUUUUGAGGUCUGAAGGCCCAGACUGUCCUUAGACCUUUCCUCUACCAGGCCUCCCAGCGGGGGCAUCUGACCCUGAACGGAGUUUGUUUCGCAAGAUUCAAGAACUUGCCAUCGCCUCUCUUGUACAGACCAACUUGUCCAGACUCCAACACUGAUUAGGACUCGUCCACACUCUGAGGCUUUUUACCACACACCAAGACCUUAGAGUCUGUCCCUGGAUUUGCAAACCCUAGGCAGUGGGUGGCAUGACUGGAACUGCUAUGGGAUACUGGAAAUAGUGGUGUCAAUAAACCAGGGGUCACUUGGGAGCAGUUUCCAGGAAGUGUGUGGACACAGAGCCGGCCAGUGGCUGCACUCCUCACUAUACACUCAGAGCCUUGAAUUGUAAUGCACAGAACCAGCCUGGAAGCAGGCUGUCAGCAGUAAAGGAACAACUCUAAUUUACUAGAGUCGCUGUACACCAAGUGUGGUGGAUUGACUAAUGGUCAAUUUUUUACGCCCAGCUGAACUGAAUCAGCAUGGUCUGGGUGUGAAAGAUCAACCUGAACAUUGUUACCAAUAGCCAUAAAAAGAGAACUGGAGGGGAAGAUCUUGGCCUGUUGAUUUUCUAGGAGAAGCUUAACUGUGGAAGGUUUUCCUGAUGAAAACUAGGAUGUUCUCAUUGGAGGAGCUCGGGGCCUCGCUGUUGCUGGGAAUGGCUGCUGUUUUCAUCAGGGGAGCUCUGGUCUUCACCAUGAGCAUCACUUCCUGUCUCCAAUGUGGAUCCCUCAGCUUGGUGGCACACACCCUUCAUCUCACCAGCAUAGAUUUCUGGCUUCCACCACUGGCCUUUGGGCCUUCCAGGUGCAAAUCCUCAAUUUGGACAAGCAUGAAACAUUGCUGUGGUCUCUAGGCCACAGGCUGGGCUCGAGGAGGACAUUGCCUUGGACUCUAGGCCUUUAGCUGGACUUGUGUGGGAAACUGCUGGGAUCUAGGCCCUCAGUUGAAUCCUUUGGGCUUCU